CCCUACGGGGCGCAGCAGGCGCGAAAACUUUACAAUGCGGGAAACCGUGAUAAGGGAACUCCGAGUGUCCGUAAAUUCGGACUGUCCGUAUGUUUAAAAAGCAUGCGAAGAAAGGGCCGGGCAAGACCGGUGCCAGCCGCCGCGGUAAUACCGGCGGCUCGAGUGGUGGCCACUAUUACUUACCGCGGC
rnacentral:rRNA from 1 species